GUGCUCACUUUGGCAGCGCACACACUAAAACUGGAAGGAUACAGAGAUGAUUAGAAUGGUCCCUGAGCAGGAAUGAC
ensembl:snRNA U6 U6 spliceosomal RNA